rnacentral:sRNA from 1 species
AUUUGGAAUGCAUCCUUUGCUACAUGGAAUCGGAAUAAGAAUUAUUCAUGAAAAUUUAGAUCUUGGGAUGAACAGACUGUUGUUUUAUGAGGAUGCAAAAUAUGGGACACUGCCUUCAUUUAACAAUGGCUUCCAAAGCGUACAACCAACUGUAAAUUCUGAGUAUCCUCAUAAGAAACUAAGAUGGAUCAGUUUGCAUGAGUUUUCUUCAGAACGUCUACCUAAAAACUUUUAUGAGCAUGAUGCAAUAGCUAUUGAUUUAAAGCGCAGUCUUCU